CCGUUAACCUUUCGAAAAUGCUCGUUUUACGUCCGAUCGUUCUGAAAUUCCGACUGUAGCAUGUAGACAUUCUAAGCCAAUCACAUGGGGAGUUUUAGCUCCGAACUAUCAAACGUGACCUUAACAGCCCCUUCCGAAAAUUAGUUCCAUACGAUUUCAACGUGUGAAGAUGGCAUCCGAUGCGAAGCGUCAGAAAUACAGCGUAGCCGAGGCUUCAGAGAUGAUUUUUGACGAUGGAAGUGAGCAUGGUGGUAUGUCUAGUGGUGAGGAGUCCGAAUUAGACAGAAAACUGGAAAAUCUUAGCGAAGAAUCGAGUGAAUCGGAAGGAGACGUGGGAGAGGUUAGGGAGCAUGAAGAAGAUCCUGAUUGGAUUGAAGGAGAAGUUUCAGAGGUUAGUGAGAUUGAGAGUGAGGGUGAGAUGGAGAGUGAAGACACUGAUGUUGGUGUUUCUGUUGAUCCAGUGCCUUCCACAUCCCAUGCCACAGGUAAGUUUUACAAGCCUGCAAGGUCACGUUGUCCUCUCAGGGCUAAAAGGGAACCUGCCAGACGAGGUACCCAUGGUGUUCGAGGUGCUAGAGUUUGUGCUUUAGUAGCUCGAGGUUCUACAAGUGAUCGUGGUGGUAGUAGAGCCACAAAACGUGCACCCCCAACCCCAGAGGACCCUUCCUCAGAGGAUACUUAUAAAUCAUAUCAUGAUGAGGAUGAGGGAAAUCCCUGUGAUCAGUUUCCACCCCCUCCCUUUACACCUGCACGUCCUCUUGGGAUACAAUUCGAACAGCCUUUGCUCAGGGGUAGGAUGAAUACUGCUGUUGAGUUUUUUAAAUUAUUUUUUACUAAAGAACUGGUGAAUAAUAUUGUUGAGCACACCAACAGCUAUGCUGUUCAACACAUUACUGAGGGUACCCAUAGGAGUUAUGCUCAAGCAGAUGGAUCAUGGAAAGACACAACACCAGAGGAGAUAUACCGGUUGAUAGCCCUUCUGAUCUAUUUUGGUUUAGUGAAAAUAGGUAUUACUAUAAACAGGUAUUGGAGUACCAAGACCCUCUACCAUGGUUUAUGGGCAAGAUCCAUCAUGCCCAGAAUACGAUUUCAAGGGCUCAUGGCCUUCUUGCAUGUUGUAGAUCCUGCAUCUGAGACCCCCAGUAACAAGUUACGUAAAGUAGAGUCCCUUGUUAACUAUUUUAAAUCUAGAUGUGUUGCUUUGUAUCAGCCCAGAAAACAUGUGGCCAUCGAUGAGCGAAUGGUCAGGUCUCGUCACAGGUCUGGCAUCAGGCAGUACACGAAGGACAAACCAACUAAGUGGGGAAUAAAACUGUGGGUACUCGCUGAUAGUUCUAAUGGUUAUACUGUAGACUUCAACAUUUACAUUGGAAAAGAUGCUGCAAGAGGGAUUAGUGAGUUUGGGCUUGGGCAUGAUGUUGUGGUAAGACUUAUUAGUCCCUACUAUGAUCAAGGUUAUCACUUGUUUAUUGACAAUUUUUAUACUUCAGUUCAUCUCAUGAAGCAUUUAUUUCAGCAUGGAGUCAUUGCUACAGGUACCAUUUUGGAUACCAGGAAAGAUUUCCCAGCAAAUCUCAAGAAAGGAAGCAAAUGGGGAAAGGGCAAAGCCAGGGGUAGUAUGCGGUGGCAGAGGGAUCCGCCCUGCUUAGUCUUGCAGUGGGUUGACAAUAAAGUAGUAUCUAUGAUCAGUACUUCUGGUAAUGCUAAUGACUCUGUUCAGAUAAAUCGUAAAAUAAAAUCUGGUGGUGUGUGGAGCUCAUUAGAGGUACCUCAGCCUCAGGUCUUUGCAAUGUACAAUCAGUAUAUGAAUGCAGUGGAUCGAUCUGACCAGAUUCUGGCCACCCACAAUGUGCAACGCAAAUGUAUGAGGUGGUGGAAGACCUUAAUUUUUCACCUUAUUGACAUUGGUGUUGUCAACAGUUUUAUUCUUUUCAGAGAGCACCAGAGGAACAAUCCAGAUAAUCCUGCCCUCAGAAGGACUUCAGAGUAUUCGCUGGGUGACUUCAGGGAGGAGCUUAUCCGUGGAAUUUGUGGUUUUCUUGAUUAUGACAACCCUCCUGUGUCCACUGCAGGCAGACCCCCAAGACCAGCUCCCCAAACCAGCCAAUUUGUGACAGAGCACAUUCCACUUCAGGCUGUGGGGCCUGCCUAGAGUUGGCAAGGGUGAGAUGAGGGUGCCCCACACCAUUUUUAUUACCAGCAUUUUCUUGAAGAGAUUCUCUGGAUGUCUUUACCAUAAGAUAGGGAAUAUUUCAUCUUGAAUUGUUUCCUUGUAAAUCCAUUCCAUUCAGGCCAAGGCUGUUUUAAAGUCAAAAGUUGCAUGAUAAUUCAUGCAAACUUUAUGCCAUUUUCUUAGCAUGAUUUAAAAUACAUGGAUUUUUGAAGGAAAAAUAUUUUUUUCCGCAAAGCUUAUUUCAUCCUCUUUCACAUGAGAUACAGAACUACUCACUAGUGCAAAUGCUGUUGACAAAACAAAAGAAAAAAGGUUGUUGUCUUUUGUCAUUUUUUGGGAUGUUGGGAAUUUAAUUUUAAUUGUUUUAGUGUAGUAUUAAGUGUUUUUGUAAAGGGUAGUUAUUCAUGAAUAAAUAUAGGCAUGCCUAUUAUCAUUUUAUAUUUCCAAAUCCUAAUGAUACCUGUUUGACAGGAAAAUUAUGUUUCAAAAGAAAAAAACAUACAACUCAUGGCUUUCAUCUUACUUGAUGUUUAAAGUAAUUUAAGAUUUUGAUGGACUGUAAUGAAAUCUGUAUUUUGCACUGAAACUUUGUAAAUUUCUUAAAUUUAACAACAUUGAUUCCAUAUAGUUUUUCAUCAUCUGUCACUUUAUAUGAGCACAGAAAGUCAGCUUUAGCAAUAGCUUAAUGCAUGUGAUUACUGCAAUAUCCAUAAUGAAAUUUGCUUAAAAAAACAAUACAUAGAUACUUUCAGGCUUUGCUAGAAUUACUCCCCACCUCUCCCCCCCUCCUCCAUCCUUCUCCCAUUAAAAAAUGGUUAUAUCAUUAUCUGUUACUCAGGCAUUAGUAGACCAAUAUAUGAUAUAUAAAUGUUAUUAAAUUAUCAAGUGGUAUGAAAUACUUGAGAUCUUCUUAUCAGUGUUACUUUGAGACAACAAUAUUGUUAAAAUGAAAGUUAGCAAAAUAUGUCUAUACAAAGUCUGUUAAUAUUUACUGGUUACAAUAAGUGAUAACAUAUAUGUAUUGGAGCCCUAAUUAUUGUGCAGUUAUUGUAAAGGUUUUUCACAAGGAUCAAUGGUUGUACUGUAUUUAGCUCAAUACUCAAUCUCUCAAAAUGCGUUGAUCACAAUUUUACCUGGUAAUUUCACCUCAAACCCCUUGAGUUUGUGCCAUUGUAUUUGGUUGGGAAAUACAUUCCCGAUUUUUACCACUGGGUGUUUCUUUGGUUUUCAUAUCAGGCAGCACAUAAAGUAAGUCCUGCAUUAGCAGUCUGUUAAUUAUUUUUAUUACAAUGUAGUCUGAUUACAUAUGCAACAGCAACCGCAUAUUAUUUUAGUAAGUUUUUGGCUAUCACUAGAAAUGAAGGGUUUUAGAACCAAUGUACUUAUUUCAUUAGCUCUCAUUCAUGACCUAUGAACUGUGUAACUUUUGAUUGAUGUUCUACUUUAAAGUUGUUUUGUUUAACCUCAAAAAAGUUUGAAUUGUGUUGUUUCAGCAGAUAUUGAUAUUGACUGCAACUGGAAAAAUAUCGUUUGCUCAACUGUCGCAUGUAUCGAUAAUCUAACUAACUCCAGAUCCUUGCCCUUGGUUUUCAUUCUUGCACUGUGUAUUAGGAUACAUGUAUACACUAUUCACAACUUGGCUGCCAUAGGAAGGCUGCAAUAUUUCCUGAAACAGCACAUGUCAAUAUUCCUUAACUUUAGGAAAUUUGUAAGAGAAGUAGUUCUCAAAUUUUGCAACCUAGCUUGGAUGAGUUAAUACUCGGUAAAGAAUUGUGAAUAUUUUAUUAACUUACUGUAGUGGUGCAAAUAAAUUACGUUUCGGAGAUAAAAA